rnacentral:rRNA from 1 species
UGGGGAAUUUGGACAAUGGGCGCAAGCCUGAUCCAGCCAUGCCGCGUGCGGGAAGAAGGCCUUCGGGUUGUAAACCGCUUUUGUCAGGGAAGAAAUCCUUUGAGCUAAUACCUCGGGGGGAUGACGGUACCUGAAGAAUAAGCACCGGCUAACUACGUGCCAGCAGCCACGGUAAUACGUAGGGUGCAAGCGUUAAUCGGAAUUACUGGGCGUAAAGCGUGCGCAGGCGGUUAUGCAAGACAGGUGUGAAAUCCCCGGGCUUAACCUGGGAAUUGCAUUUGUGACUGCAUCGCUGGAGUGCGGCAGAGGGGGAUGUAAUUCGGCGUGUAGCAGUGAAAUGCGUAGAUAUGCGGAGGAACACCGAUGGCGAAGGCAAUCCCCUGGGCCUGCACUGACGCUCAUGCACGAAAGCGUGGGGAGCAAACA